CUGGGACCAGUAGUCAGACUUAUUUAAAGAGGACGAUCCAUCUGGAAGCACUCAGCUGGCAUGUAAAAUACAAGCUCAUUUCGAUCUGUCAUUCACUCAGCUAUGCGACAGACUGGCGACCUGUCCAGGGUGAACCCCGCCUCUGAUAGGCACCAGCAAACCCUCCCCACCCCAUUAGGGAAGAAGGGUGUUCAGAUAAUGGAUGGAUGGAUGGAUGGAUGGAUUCACUCAGCUAAGCAGCAAAACUCAAUCAAGCUGUCCUGGGUUUAUGGGCUGAUCCUCAUCUAUCAGCACUACUCAUUUCGGACAGGAGCAGUCUGUCUCAGCUCUGUUGCUUAACAACCCUGACCACAUCCUUCACAUCAUCUCUCCUCACACUCACUGAGGUGAAUCAGACUCACACAUGGAUUCAGAACAAUGCUCCCGACUUUUAAUUUUAGGAUAUAAUAAUGGUGCUCCCACACAGUCAUGUCAGCACUCGGGCAACGUCCUCUAGAAGUGGGCCGUGGUGUAAAAUCCCAGAGUCGCUCCCAGCAGGAGGCCAAGAUGCAUUUCCAUCAGAACGCAAUCAAGAGGGACGCUCAGUUUACCGCGGUUCCGAUAACUCAGCUCCAAUAUGUCAUCAUAAAAAUGUUGAUUUAAUGACCAUAGUGGAAAUCAUUUGCUGCCUCCUUGGCGGAUUUCUAUUUUAAAUUGCUGUGUUUCUCGCGUGUGAUGAUGCUGACAUGUUGGAGCAUGUGUCCUUUCAUUACAGUUACAUUUGGCAACAUUUUUUAUGUGACUUGCUGAUGGCAAAUGUCACUCUGUAAGUUUCACUGUCAAUCAGCACAAUAAACUC